AGGGAUGCAGCACUCUUAAAAUUGCAAAGCUUCUGAAGCGUGAUCAUCGAACAAUCAAGCGUUUCAUUCAAAAUAGUCAACAGGGUCGCAAGAAGCGUGUGGAAAAACCAAGGCGCAAAAUAACUGCCCAUGAACUGAGAAAAGUCAAGCGUGCAGCUGCCACGAUGCCACUUGCCACCAUUUUGGCCAUAUUUCAGAGCUGCAACAUCACUGGAGUGCCCAAAAGCACAAGGUGUGCAAUACUCAGAGACAUGGCCAAG